ACUCAAAGGAAUAGACGGGGACCCGCACAAGCGGUGGAGCGUGUUGUUUAAUUCGAUGGUAAACGAAGAACCUUACCAAGGUUUGACAUCCUGCGAAGUAUAGCGAAAGCUAAAUGUGCCUUCGGGAACGCAGUGACAGGUGUUGCAUGGCCGUCGUCAGCUCGUGUCGUGAGAUGUUGGGUUAAGUCCCGCAACGAGCGCAACCCUUAUGUUUAGUUGGAUUUUUCUAAACAGACUGCCUCGGUAACGGGGAGGAAGGAGGGGAUGAUGUCAGGUCAGUAUUACCCUUACACCUUGGGCUACAAACACGCUACAAUGGCCGGUACAAAGGGCAGCCAACCCGCGAGGGGGAGCAAAUCCCAUCAAAGCCGGUCUCAGUUCAGAUUGCAGGCUGAAACUCGCCUGCAUGAAGAUGGAAUCGCUAGUAACGGUGAGUCAGCUAUAUUACCGUGAAUACGUUCCCGGGUCUUGCACACACCGCCCGU
rnacentral:rRNA from 1 species